AUUGAACGCUGGCGGCAGGCCUAACACAUGCAAGUCGAGCGAGCGGCGGACGGGUGAGUAAUGUCUGGUAAACUGCCUGAUGGAGGGGGAUCACUACUGGAAACGGUAGCUAAUACCGCAUACCAUCAGAUGUGCCCAGAUGUGAUUAGCUAGUAGGUGGGGUAACGGCUAACCUAGGCGACGAUCCCUAGCUGGACUGCGAGGAUGACCAGCCACACGUGAACUGAGACACGGUCCAGACUCCUACGGGAGGCAGCAGUGGGGAAUAUUGCACAAUGGGCGCAAGCCUGAUUCAGCCAUGCCGCGUGUGUGAAGAAGGCCUUCGGGUUGUAAAGCACUUUCAGCGGGGAGGCGUUACCCGCAGAAGAAGCACCGGCUAACUCCGUGCCAGCAGCCGCGGUAAUAC
rnacentral:rRNA from 1 species